AGCGCGAGCGCGGAGGGAGAGCGCGUGCGUGGGAGCGCGUGCGUGGUGGAGCGCGCGCGCCCCCGCCCCCUCCACAGUCUGGGGGUGGGGAGCGGCUGGAAGAGAGAGUGAAGACCGAACCCUUCCCUGCGCCGAGAGGUCGGGCCCUGACUCUGCAGCUCUGUGAGAGUCAAGAGGAGCAGAGGGAAGGAAGAUUUAGACAAAAGGCCUCAUGGGACCAAGAAGACCCAGACCUCAAUCUGAGCAGCAUCACCAUUCUUUGACCUAGGACACCAGAGGCUGCUACCCCUACUAGCUUGCAGCUGCAUCUGUAGGAAAACAUCUUCAUACCACAUUUACCUGGGCUCAGGAUGGAGAGCAGAGGACACAGCUUUGAAAUGUUAUCUCUGCAAAGUCUGCAUUCAAGGACAUUUUGAAGGAAUUUUAUUUCUUUCCAUUAGAUGUAUUAAUAGACACAUAGCUAUAAAAAUGUAUUCGUGCUGAAAUCCCGAAAGCCUUUAUCAACUAAACAAAUGAUCAUGGAGCGGCAGUGAGGAAGGCACGAGGCUGCAUUCUCUUAUUUGGCCAUUCACUGGUUGCGUGCCCUGGAGCAAAUAACCUACCCUCUCCCUGCUCCAUGGUCUUUGUCUGUAAAAGGUCUCCACUAGAGGCUGCUAAAAUCCCCUCUACCUCUGACCUGCUAUAGGGGGCGCUAUGAAAGGACUGGGCAAGGUUUGUGGAAUUAUUCCCUCCUGUCUCCCUGUCCUAUUAGCUUUUUUUUUUUUAUAAUGUCAAAUUCUUAAUUAGUAGGUUUCAAACAUGAAGAAUAUAAAGCUUGCCUGUACAUUUGGGAAGAAUGAAGUUUUGUCUUUUAGAGCAGAGAGAGGGAGCUAGCUGAGGCUUCUAACUGAAGCAAGUCACACUCCCAGAAAAAUGAAAUGAAAGCCUGAACGAUUGUGAAAAUUGAGGACCCUGUAAGCAAGGAACAAGUACCCUGUUGGUAUUUUUUUAGAUGAUUUUCAUUCCAUUUGCAACACCUUUGUGCUUCCUUUAUGAAUUUCUCCAUCUCUUUCAACUCUACAGUGAGCUAUUUUUAAGACUGUUUUCCUUUCAUACAGGAAUACUGUUCAGAGAAGCAACUUAAUUGUCAUCAUACUUUUUCUUAGUCUUUCAAGACCUUUUGUUAUGGUGAAAUAAUUUUAGGUACACCAAGCACAGAUCCAUUAAAUACAUUCUUUAUUUCACUAAUGAA